UAUCAUGAUUACAUAUUCAAAUAUUAGUAUUUAUUUACUCGUAUAAUCAUAUACUUUUCCAAUCCAAAAAACUUAAGGUUAAGAUGGAUUUGUUACAAAACCAACAAGAAGAACGAUUUUUUGAAUAGUGUCAUUUAAUCAUAAUCAUUGUUGUUUAACUAACGAAACUUUAUACUUAUAAUAACCAAUAGAAUUAAGAUUUUUCAAACAUAGUAUAUGUAAUAUGAAUGAUGUUAUAAACAGCAUACUUGGGACAAAAACAAAAAGGUAAAAGUUUUGGUCAUCAAGAUAUAGUAUCAUUCACAAUUUCAUGACAUCAAUGUGUGUAUGAAGCCAAUUUGUGUAAGCAUAUAUAUUGUUACAAAAUUAAACACAUUAACAUCAAAAUGACAUAGUUUCAAAUACAAGAUGCAAAUGCGUGCUUAACAAAAAUAGAAGCUUCAAAAUAAUCAAAAGUUAUCUAAACAAUUUAAGUUAAGUUGGUGAUGCAAAGACUACCUCAUAAAAUCCAACAAAACAAAACAAGCAGUCAAAAAAUCUAAUUUCAAGAACAUGUACAACUUGGCCGAUGGAAUAUCUAGAGGAUUGUUCUCAUCAUUUUUAUGGUUGGUGUUGCUAUUCCUUCGAUUACAUCUAUCCUUAUACCUGUUGUUUCUGUCACUUCCAUCAGUAGAGGUAUUGAUUUUAAGUCUUUUCAUCUUCGGCCUUGAUACCCCGUGCUUCGUUUUCAAUGGACAUCUUCAACAUUUCUGAUUUUGUAACUUGGGUUGUGUUGUGUUUUUCUUUGGGUAUACGUACAUACUAUUAGGAAUCCAUGAAUGUUUUAUUUUUAUAUUGAAGUUUUUGGGUAAUGAUAAAUUAUUCUUCCUUUGUUGCUCUGUUUUUCAAUCAUUGACUGAGAAAAAGGUUACUGAUUUACUCGAAAACGAAAAAAGGAAAGUUAUACAAUAUAAGUUAAUAAUUAUUUCCCUAUUUUCGUUACUAAACUUCAUUUUAUAUUUUAUUAUAUUAAAUAAUAUUACUAAAGGUUGAUAACUCCUAAGGGGCCGUUUGAUAACUACCUCAUUAAACUUAAAAGAUCCAAGUUUGAGAUUUGCCGAUGAUCUGUUAAGUUUUCUUAACUUCUAACCUCACCCCCUCCCCAUGAGACCACCACCAAGCCAUGUUGGUUAUAACAUUCUCCAAUAUAUUUGAAGUAACUUUCAAAGAUAACAUUUUUAAAUGAUAACUCAAAUUAACACUUGUUUGUUGAAAUUAGGAGAUCACUUUUCAACUUCCAAAACUCUCAUCUAGUACAAAUAACUUAAGUUUAGAAGAUAAUGAAGUGUGAUAGUAUCAUCUCAUGUGUGAUCAAAUGCAAUUUGCAGCUCAUUUGGGUCAAACCUGACUACAAGUAGCAGUUCAUCUGAAAACAUCUUUGCGGCUCUCAUUACCAUUAUUGGGAUCCUUCUAGUUGUUUAUCUUAUCGGCAACUUGCAGGUAUAUCUGCAGUCCUCAACUUUAAGAUCAGAGGAGAAACGGAGGACGAUGAAAAAGAAAGAUGGUGAAAUAGAUUUCUGGAUAGAUUAUUAUGAGUUUCAGAAGAAGAAGGAAAUCAAGGAGUUUGUGAGAGACAAGUUUGAGUGGAAAAAUGAUGUCAAUUUGAAAACACUGCUCGACGUGUUUCCGUCUCCAUUCGUUGAGGAGAUAAAGAAAGAACUUUGAUGCAACAUCCUAAAGAGGGUUCCAAUGCUUAAAGAAUUUGAAGAGGAGAAGUUAGAAGAGGUGAUGAAGGAUAUGAAGCCAAUGGUUUUUGCAGAGUAUAGCUAUAUUAUUCGAGAGGGGGAGCGUGUUGAGCAGAUGCUACUAUUCACGAAAGGUAUGGGAUUGAAAUUUAGCAAGAGCACUGGAGCUAGAACAACGAUUAGCACUUUUGGAAAAGGUGAUUUAUUUGGGGAGCAGCUACUGAUUUGGGCAGUGGAAAAUCUUCAUGUGUCUGAAAUUCCUUUGUUCGAAUGUACACUCAAGACACAGACCCAAAUGGAAGCCUUCACUCUUAAGGCUAUUGAUCCACAAUAUCAUAUCAUACCAAGUGGGACAUAAAUACGUAUAGGUUAAGUUUAAAUUUUAAUUUCCCUUCAACUUUAUGUUUGUGUUCCUAUGUUAUAAACUAAUUUAAAACGACCGAGAAAAGUAUUUAUGUGAAUCUUGAAUAACCCAACAUCUAUCUUUGGAUAUCUUAUCAAAUUGUCUAAUCAUAAUUUG